GGAAGGAUCAUUCUUGUAUACCAGGUCGAGCGUAAGCUUGGCCUAACCAUGUGUGAAUCAGUGUUCUUUUUCCCGGCGGGAUCUUUGGUGUUGACUCUGGGCUUUGCCUGGAAGAGCCUUAGUGACGGCUGGGGUAUUGCCUCGCAAGAGGUCAACAUGUUAAUAGCAGGGAACUCAAAAAGUAACAAUUACAACUUUAAACGAUGGAUCUCUUGGCUCUCACACCGAUGAAGAACGCAGCAAACUGCGAUAAGCAAUGCGAAACGCAGUUGUUCGUGAGUCAUCCGGUAUUCGAACGCACAUGGCAGGUCUUCGGACCUACGCCUGGUUGAGGGUCUUUAUUACUCCAUUUCUAUGGGAUGUGAGUGGGCAUUUGGCUCACUUCAAAGGCAGGGUAACUUGUACCGUAACCGUUUGGUGGAUAACCUAGCGGGCAUUGGUAACAAGCGAUGGCUGGCAAGCAGUUAUCAUUUCAAAUUUGACCUCAACUCAGACGAGACUACCCGCUGAACUUAAGCAUAUCAAUAAGCGGAGGAAAAGACACCAACAGGGAUUCCCUUAGUAACGGCGAGUGAAAAGGGAGAAGCGCAACAUGGGAAUCGUGCCGCAAGGUACGAGUUGUAGGGUUGCAUUGUUUGCCUGGGAUGAAGCGGCGUGUAAGUCUCUUGGAAUAGAGCAGCAUAGAGGGUGAUACUCCCGUAACGCGCUGCAGAGUCUGUGAUGGCAAGCAAUAGGCGAGUCGAGUUGUUUGGGAAUGCAGCUCCAAAGGGUGGUAAACUCCAUCCAACGCUAAAUACUGGUGAGAGACCGAUAGCAAACAAGUACCGUGAGGGAAAGAUGAAAAGCACCUUGAAAAGGGCGUUAAAAGAAUGUGAAAUCGUUUAGGGGGAAGCGUUGCCAGCGAGUGCAGUAUAACGCAGAUCAUGCACUCUAUCAGGGUGCUGCACUGUGUGUUGUACUGGUCCACAUCAGUUUUGGCUGCUGGAUAAUCUCUCUGGAAGGUAGCGUCCUCGGACGUGUUAAGCCAGGGAGGGCGCAGUGGCUGGGACUGAGGACCGCCGUGCACGUUUGCGGGGCCUCUUAUCUCUGUCUUUCUGCCAGCAGGUGCAUUUUUAAUGAGCUUGUUGAGUAGAUUGUCACCGGUGGGAGUGAUCGCCUAUGCACGAAGGAUGUGGGCGAAAUCGCUUGUAGCGACCCGUCUUGAAACACGGACCAAGGAGUCUAAUUGAUGUGCGAGUGGUAAGGUGGCAAACCUUAGCGCGUAAUGAAAGUAACAGGUACGACCUUCGGGCAGUAUCGGCCGGACGAGAUCUACGGUGAUCGUCCUGAGCAAGAGCAUAUCGACUAGGACCCGAAAGAUGGUGAUCUAUGGCUGCGUAGGAUGAAGCCGGGGGAAACUCCGGUGGAAGUCCGCAGCGGUUCUGACGUGCAAAUCGAUCGUCGAACGUGGCUAUAGGGGCGAAAGACUAAUCGAACCAUCUAGUAUUCAGUUGCUAGAAACAGUAGGCCCAUGCCUGCUAGUCAAGUAGUCAUCUAUUGAUGGGAGACUACUGGCGAGGUAACCUGGUACGAGGAAGGUCUACGGACUAAUCUCGUGGUGAGCCUAGGCCACCGUAACGCACGCAAAGGUACCGGUCUUAAUUGACUCAAGGAACGUGCUAGUCCCAUACGAAAGUAUGCCUACUGCAAUAGGACCCAUCAUCCGAAGGCAGUGGAAACAAUAUUGAAAGAGAAUAUAUUGUUGGUAGAAUGAGCUGGUUCCUGC
rnacentral:misc_RNA from 1 species